rnacentral:rRNA from 1 species
UACGUAGGUGGCAAGCGUUAUCCGGAAUUAUUGGGCGUAAAGCGCGCGUAGGCGGUUUUUUUUUAAGUCUGAUGUGAAAGCCCCACGGCUCAACCGUGGAGGGGUCAUUGGAAAACUGGAAAAACUUGAGUGCAGAAGAGGAAAGUGGAAUUCCAUGUGUAGCGGUGAAAUGCGCAGAGAUAUGGAGGAACACCAGUGGCGAAGGCGACUUUCUGGUCUGUAACUGACGCUGAUGUGCGAAAGCGUGGGGAUCAAACAGGAUUAGAUACCCCGGUAGUCC